AGCAGCCGCGGUAAUUCCAGCUCCAAUAGCGUAUAUUAAAGUUGUUGCAGUUAAAAAGCUCGUAGUUGAAUUUCGGGGUUCUACCGUUGGUCGGGCUAACCAGUCUGUACUAGCGUGUAGAAUUCCUACCUUCUGGGGAACCAUCAUGUUAUUAAUUUAGCGUGGUGGGAAACCAGGACCUUUACCUUGAAAAAAUUAGAGUGUUCAAAGCAGGCUUACGUCUGAAUACAUUAGCAUGGAAUAAUAAAAUAGGACGGUGGUCCUGUUUUGUUGGUUUCUGAAUCACCGUAAUGAUUAAUAGGGAUAGUUGGGGGCAUUAGUAUUCAAUUGUCAGAGGUGAAAUUCUUGGAUUUAUUGAAGACUAACUUCUGCGAAAGCAUUUGCCAAGGAUGUUUUCAUUAAUCAAGAACGAAAGUUAGGGGAUCGAAGACGAUCAGAUACCGUCGUAGUCUUAACCAUAAACUAUGCCGACUAGGGAUCGGAUGAUGUUAAAUUUUAUUGACUCGUUCGGCGCCUUACG
rnacentral:rRNA from 1 species